rnacentral:rRNA from 1 species
UACGUAGGGUGCGAGCGUUAGUCGGAAUUACUGGGCGUAAAGUGUGCGCAGGCGGCGUCGCAAGUCGAGUGUGAAAGCCCCGAGCUUAACUUGGGAAUUGCGCUCGAAACUACGAUGCUGGAGUGUGGCAGAGGAAGGUGGAAUUCCACGUGUAGCGGUGAAAUGCGUAGAGAUGUGGAGGAACACCGAUGGCGAAGGCAGCCUUCUGGGCCAACACUGACGCUCAUGCACGAAAGCAUGGGGAGCAAACAGG